GAAGCGCUAGUAAAGAGUACUUACACUACCUUGUCAAGGCAGUAUCGUGGGAUAAACCCCCACGCGCUUCA
rnacentral:tRNA from 1 species